CAUGCUAAGGCCAACAACGUAAACCGAUACCACCAUCAUACGGCAAAUGCUCGAUCAGCUACUUUGAAGUGACGCAGCUGUCCACAGGUGACAACUGUAAGUUUCAAGGUCAAGGGAGUUAGUGAUAUUCAGCCGCAGUCGCCGAGCAAUUCAG